AUUGAACGCUGGCGGCAUGCCUUACACAUGCAAGUCGAACGGCAGCAUGGGUGCUUGCACCUGAUGGCGAGUGGCGAACGGGUGAGUAAUGCAUCGGAACGUACCCGGAAGUGGGGGAUAACGUAGCGAAAGUUACGCUAAUACCGCAUAUUCUGUGAGCAGGAAAGCGGGGGAUCGCAAGACCUCGCGCUUCCGGAGCGGCCGAUGUCGGAUUAGCUAGUUGGCGGGGUAAAGGCCCACCAAGGCAACGAUCCGUAGCGGGUCUGAGAGGAUGAUCCGCCACACUGGGACUGAGACACGGCCCAGACUCCUACGGGAGGCAGCAGUGGGGAAUUUUGGACAAUGGGCGCAAGCCUGAUCCAGCCAUGCCGCGUGAGUGAAGAAGGCCUUCGGGUUCGUAAGACUCUUUCGGCUGGGAAGAAAUACGCAUCUCCUAAUACGGGGUGUGGAUGACGGUACCUAGCAUAAGAAGCACCGGCUAACU
rnacentral:rRNA from 1 species